AAAUUUUGAAAAAUUUGCGGAGGGACUAAGUUAAAAAUUUUAGAAACGCGGGGGGACUAAAUUUUCAUUCCCUCCAUUCCUCCAACACUAUUUUUUUUCACUCUGAAACUUUCGAACCGUAAUGACUAACUCUCACUCCUUCCAAACCCUACUCGGGUGGUACCCCCCCCUCCCCGGACUCUCACUCUCUCUCUAUGAUGAACAAGCUCCGGAAUUUGGUCUUUUCCCUUAAACUCUGUUCGAUCUCCACCGCAAUCCUUUUUCUCUUUCUCUCCGUUCUCGAUCUAACUCAACAAAUUGAGCACUUGGUGGCCACUGUGUUGAUCUAGAUCCAGGGCUUAUGGGCUUAUUCUUUUUGGGUAUUUCAAUUUGGCUCUUUCCAGUCGUUCCUCUUCCUCUCUCGUGCGAGGUCAUUCAACUCAGAUGCUUUCAAUUCAAUGGCGAGGUCAUUCGUGCGAGUUUCGUUCUGUCCGAGCGCAAUUUCGAUUCAACUCGGAUGCUUUCUCUUCUCUGCUGACGGAGAGUUCGCGUCUUGGGUCAGUUCUCAACCUCUUUUUGCUUGGUUUCUGUGUAGAUUGGAGCAGGCCUCUGGCCUCGCAGGUGUGCGUCUAGUGUGACCGGACAGGUUGCUGUCGGAGGUGAUUGGGAUGGAGAUCGGAGACUGGGGCGUUGGGAUUUCGAUCUGUUUGGUUUUUAUUUGAUGACGGUGGCUGCACGGAGACUGGGUGAGCGGAAGAUGGUGGUGACUGGGUGUGUGGCGACGGUCGGGGAUUCGGAUCCGGCAGUAGGGUUGUUGACCCUCUGGGUUUGGGGAUGGAGACGGUGGGAAUAUAGGCUCGGGUGUUGAUCUUCUUCAUGGAAUUGGGCAUGCGAGCUUUGUGUUUGUGGUGGUGGGUGAUGUGUGGUCAACGACGAUUGGGGUUCGGUAUCGGCGCCAAACAGAUUAUGGAGGAGCCUACAAUCCUGCAGCAGUGUCCAAACACGGUGUACUACAUAUUAUCACAUUAUAUUGGUUUAUUUCUUAUUUUCUUUCCAUUCUACUAGUCGGUCACAGUGUAUUAUUAACAUUCGAGGUGUUGCCGACAAGUUUGAUGGAGAGGAUAACAAUAAAGCAAAUGAAGUCGUCCUGAGUAUUGUUGACCUUACUGGUUCUAUAUUACUUAUAUGUAGUCUUCAUUGGCUCUAACUUUUCUUCUCUUUCAUCCUUGGUGACACCACACACACAUUCAGAUUAGAUAUGGAUGACAUGUGUACCUAACUCAUUGUGUGCUUUUAGUUGUAGCCAUAUAUGCUUAAAUGAUUAAUAUACCAAUUGAUACUGAAAAUCUGAAAUAGGGCUAGACAUGGUCUUUCGAGUCCCUAUAAUAUCUGUUACAAUUGCUUAGGACUAUUGUUACUGAUGCAAUGAUCUUUGGACAGUUGACCAAGUACUUGAGAGACUAUUUGGAAGGCAAGAAGGAGAUGUCACUGAUUUUAACAGUAAAAUCAGGAGAAGAAGAUUAUCGUGAUACAUCGCACCUGCUAAGACAGGCCUCACCUUAUAUGGAAAUCAAGUUUAAUAAUGCUGAAGACCCUUCAAAUAUUCCGAACAAAAGGCAAAUCCAGUCUUUGUCUAGAACUGAGCAGCGCAAAAGAAUGAAAUUAACCGGUUCUGAGUCUUGCGUGCGGCACAAAGAAUCUACAAGGUGGAAUUAAGUAGUGGUUCAAAACCGUGUAAUGUUGACACUGCAGAUGGAGAGAGAAACCAUCAGAUUAUGCAGAGUUUUGCUAAAGCUAUAUGGAAUGUUUUGAAGGAUUACAACAAAAAACUAUAGUGGUCCAGGCAGAGCUGGUAUAUGCACCACACCAUUGCAUUCCCACUUGGUUAAUGAGGGUUUUGCUAAACUGUAGCAUCUUCCAUAUAACAGGAAAGUGACUAAACUGUAUUCCAGGUUGCAGAUGAACUUGUAGCAGAGUUUUCUGACCCUAUCAAUGGUGUCACAUCCCCUGAUCAAAUUGACGAGGUGCGCAUUGAAGUGGCUGAUUAUAUACAGAGUUUGAUGUAGAAAUGUGACUGCCAAGAUGUUUUUUGAGUAAGGCUAGCUAGUUUUGGCUUUGAAGCAAAGCUUGGUGUGGAGCUUUUGUACAUUGUUGCUCAUAUGUUUCCAAGCUAGCUUUUGUAAGUUUAGGGGUUUAUUUUGUGAAUUAUGUUGAAUCAUGAAAUUUGGAAAGAAAAUUAAUGGGAAAGCCCCUU